rnacentral:rRNA from 1 species
AUUGAACGCUGGCGGCAGGCCUAACACAUGCAAGUCGAAUGGUAACAGGAAACAGCUUGCUGUUUCGCUGACGAGUGGCGGACGGGUGAGUAAUGUCUGGGAAACUGCCUGAUGGAGGGGGAUAACUACUGGAAACGGUAGCUAAUACCGCAUAACGUCGCAAGACCAGAGAGGGGGACCUUCGGGCCUCUUGCCAUCAGAUGUGCCCAGAUGGGAUUAGCUAGUAGGUGGGGUAACGGCUCACCUAGGCGACGAUCCCUAGCUGGUCUGAGAGGAUGACCAGCCACACUGGAACUGAGACACGGUCCAGACUCCUACGGGAGGCAGCAGUGGGGAAUAUUGCACAAUGGGCGCAAGCCUGAUGCAGCCAUGCCGCGUGUAUGAAGAAGGCCUUCGGGUUGUAAAGUACUUUCAGCGGGGAGGAAGGGAGUAAAGUUAAUACCUUUGCUCAUUGACGUUACCCGCAGAGGAAGCACCGGCUAACUCCGUG